AUAAAGACAUUCAGGCAGCUGAUGGAGAUACUGACCUGAUGUUGGGCUAUGGCUUCCUACCAUUAACAAGCAUUAACCUGACAAGGAUGUGAGUGAGCCACCUUGGAAGUCCAUCCUCCAGUCCCAGUCAAGUCUUUAGAUGACUACAGCCUCAGCUGAGAAUCUGAGCAUAAUAUCAUGAGAGUCUCAAAGUUAGAACUACUCAGCCAAGCUGCUUCUGAAUUCGUAACUCACAAAAACUGACACAGAAUUGCAAUAGGAAGAAACUGAUGCUUCUACCAUUGGGGAGUGAGCAUUCCACUUUUCCAAUACUUAUGAAGAAUGGAGUCAUGAAGAAGACGUGAAUUUUUGCUGAGUUUAGCUGUUUUUGCUUUUCCGG